rnacentral:tRNA from 1 species
UGACCUGUAGCUCAACCGGAAGAGCACCCGGCUGUUACCCGGGCUUGUGCUGGUUCGAAUCCAGCUAGGUCAG